rnacentral:rRNA from 2 species
GCAUAUCAAUAAGCGGAGGAAAAGAAACUAACAAGGAUUCCCCUAGUAACGGCGAGUGAAGCGGGAAGAGCUCAAAUUUGAAAUCUGGUGGCCUCAGGUCAUCCGAGUUGUAAUCUAUAGAAGUGUUUUCCGUGCUGGCUCAUGUACAAGUCCCUUGGAACAGGGCGUCAUAGAGGGUGAGAAUCCCGUCCUUGACAUGAACUACCAGUGCUCUGUGAUACAUUUUCAACGAGUCGAGUUGUUUGGGAAUGCAGCUCAAAAUGGGUGGUAAAUUCCAUCUAAAGCUAAAUAUUGGCGAGAGACCGAUAGCGAACAAGUACCGUGAGGGAAAGAUGAAAAGCACUUUGGAAAGAGAGUUAAACAGUAUGUGAAAUUGUUAAAAGGGAAACGAUUGAAGUCAGUCGUGCUCUUUGGAUUCAGCCGGUUCUGCCGGUGUACUUCCUUUGAGUGGGGUCAACAUCAGUUUUGAUCGCUGGAUAAAGGCUGGAGGAACGUAGUACCCUCGGGUAAACUUAUAGCCUCCUGUCACAUACAGUGGUUGGGACUGAGGAACGCAGCACGCCUUUAUGGCCGGGAUUCGUCCACGUACGUGCUUAGGAUGUUGACAUAAUGGCUUUAAACGACCCGUCUUGAAACACGGACC